rnacentral:rRNA from 1 species
GACGAACGCUGGCGGCGUGCUUAACACAUGCAAGUCGAACGGAAAGGCCCUGCUUGCAGGGUACUCGAGUGGCGAACGGGUGAGUAACACGUGGGUGAUCUGCCCUGCACUUCGGGAUAAGCUUGGGAAACUGGGUCUAAUACCGGAUAGGAGCCAUCUUUAGUGUGGUGGUUGGAAAGUUUUUUCGGUGUAGGAUGAGCUCGCGGCCUAUCAGCUUGUUGGUGGGGUAAUGGCCUACCAAGGCGGCGACGGGUAGCCGGCCUGAGAGGGUGUACGGCCACAUUGGGAAUGAGAUACGGCCCAGACUCCUACGGGAGGCAGCAGUGGGGAAUAUUGCACAAUGGGCGCAAGCCUGAUGCAGCGACGCCGCGUGGGGGAUGAAGGCCUUCGGGUUGUAAACUCCUUUCGCUAGGGACGAAGCUUUUUUGUGACGGUACCUAGAUAAGAAGCACCGGCUAACUACGUG